CAAUCACACAGACCAGCUCACUGAGGGCAGGCAAUACAGGGAGCGCUGUUUUUGUGCUCUUUGCACGCUCCUGGUGGCCUUAGCGUGGCACAAGCUUGCCUAAUAAUGCAAUUGCGUUACACUUUUUGUGGACAGUUCCCUGGUGUCCACAGCCUGUAAAGCUCUGUACUUAGAAAAGACCAUUUCACAAAAUCUGAAACUGUG